GAUGAACGCUAGCGGGAGGCUUAACACAUGCAAGUCGAGGGGCAGCACGUCCAGACGUAAGUCGGGAUGGUGGCGACCGGCGCACGGGUGAGUAACACGUAUGCAACCUACCCUGUACAGGGGGAUAGCCCGGAGAAAUUCGGGAUUAAUACCCCAUAAUGAUAUCGAGAGGCAUCUUUUGAUAUUUAAAGUUUCGGCGGUACGGGAUGGGCAUGCGUGACAUUAGCUAGUUGGUAGGGUAACGGCCUACCAAGGGCUGCGAUGGGUAGCCGGCCUGAGAGGGUGGUCGGCCACACUGGGACUGAGAUACGGCCCAGACUCCUACGGGAGGCUG
rnacentral:rRNA from 1 species